rnacentral:rRNA from 1 species
AGGACGAACGCUGGCGGUGUGCUUCACACAUGCAAGUCGAACGGGGUAGCAAUACCCAGUGGCGGACGGGUGAGUAACGCGUAGAAAUCUGCCUUGAGAUGGGGGAUAACAGUCCGAAAGGACUGCUAAUACCGCAUAUGUAUGUAUCCGGACACGGGUGUAUAUGAAAGGAGUAAUCCGUCUUAAGAUGAGUCUGCGUCCGAUUAGCUAGUUGGUAGGGUAAAGGCCUACCAAGGCGACGAUCGGUAGCUGGUCUGAGAGGAUGAUCAGCCACAAUGGGACUGAGACACGGCCCAUACUCCUACGGGAGGCAGCAGUGGGGAAUUUUGUGCAAUGGGGGAAACCCUGACACAGCGACACCGCGUGAGCGAAGAAGCCCUUUGGGUGUAAAGCUCUGUCGGCUGGAACGAAAAAAUGACGGUACCAGCAAAGGAAGCAUCGGCUAACUACGUGCCAGCAGCCGCGGUAA